AAGGCUUGACAUACACUGCGAUGUGCCAGAGAUGGUGCAGCCUUCGGGGUGGUGUACAGGUGGUGCAUGGUUGUCGUCAGCUCGUGUCGUGAGAUGUUGGGUUAAGUCCCGCAACGAGCGCAACCCUUGUCCUGUGUUGCCAGCACUUUGGGUGGGGACUCACGGGAGACUGCCGGGGUUAACUCGGAGGAAGGUGGGGAUGACGUCAAAUCAUCAUGCCCCUUAUGUCUUGGGCUUCACGCAUGCUACAAUGGCCGGUACAGAGGGUUGCGAGCCUGUAAGGGUGAGCUAAUCCCUUAAAGCUGGUCUCAGUUCGGAUUGGGGUCUGCAACUCGACCCCAUGAAGUCGGAGUCGCUAGUAAUCGCAGAUCAGCAACGCUGCGGUGAAUACGUUCUCGGGCC
rnacentral:rRNA from 1 species